UGGUUGUGUACUGGUUUAGGC
rnacentral:siRNA from 1 species